rnacentral:rRNA from 1 species
GGCGGCGUACCUAAUACAUGCAAGUAGAACGCUGAAGAGAGGAGCUUGCUCUUCUUGGAUGAGUUGCGAACGGGUGAGUAACGCGUAGGUAACCUGCCUUGUAGCGGGGGAUAACUAUUGGAAACGAUAGCUAAUACCGCAUAACAAUGGAUGACACAUGUCAUUUAUUUGAAAGGGGCAAUUGCUCCACUACAAGAUGGACCUGCGUUGUAUUAGCUAGUAGGUGAGGUAACGGCUCACCUAGGCGACGAUACAUAGCCGACCUGAGAGGGUGAUCGGCCACACUGGGACUGAGACACGGCCCAGACUCCUACGGGAGGCAGCAGUAGGGAAUCUUCGGCAAUGGGGGCAACCCUGACCGAGCAACGCCGCGUGAGUGAAGAAGGUUUUCGGAUCGUAAAGCUCUGUUGUAAGUCAAGAACGAGUGUGAGAGUGGAAAGUUCACACUGUGACGGUAGCUUACCAGAAAGGGACGGCUAACUACGUGCCAGCAGCCGCGGUAAUACGUAGGUCCCGAGCGUUGUCCGGAUUUAUUGGGCGUAAAGCGAGCGCAGGCGGUUUGAUAAGUCUGAAGUUAAAGGCUGUGGCUCAACCAUAGUUCGCUUUGGAAACUGUCAAACUUGAGUGCAGAAGGGGAGAGUGGAAUUCCAUGUGUAGCGGUGAAAUGCGUAGAUAUAUGGAGGAACACCGGUGGCGAAAGCGGCUCUCUGGUCUGUAACUGACGCUGAGGCUCGAAAGCGUGGGGAGCGAACAGGAUUAGAUACCCUGGUAGUCCACGCCGUAAACGAUGAGUGCUAGGUGUUGGAUCCUUUCCGGGAUUCAGUGCCGCAGCUAACGCAUUAAGCACUCCGCCUGGGGAGUACGACCGCAAGGUUGAAACUCAAAGGAAUUGACGGGGGCCCGCACAAGCGGUGGAGCAUGUGGUUUAAUUCGAAGCAACGCGAAGAACCUUACCAGGUCUUGACAUCCCGAUGCUAUUUCUAGAGAUAGAAAGUUACUUCGGUACAUCGGUGACAGGUGGUGCAUGGUUGUCGUCAGCUCGUGUCGUGAGAUGUUGGGUUAAGUCCCGCAACGAGCGCAACCCCUAUUGUUAGUUGCCAUCAUUCAGUUGGGCACUCUAGCGAGACUGCCGGUAAUAAACCGGAGGAAGGUGGGGAUGACGUCAAAUCAUCAUGCCCCUUAUGACCUGGGCUACACACGUGCUACAAUGGUUGGUACAACGAGUUGCGAGUCGGUGACGGCAAGCUAAUCUCUUAAAGCCAAUCUCAGUUCGGAUUGUAGGCUGCAACUCGCCUACAUGAAGUCGGAAUCGCUAGUAAUCGCGGAUCAGCACGCCGCGGUGAAUACGUUCCCGGGCCUUGUACACACCGCCCGUCAA